GUAAAUAUUUUUAAUAACAAAAUCAAGUUUAUUUUAUUUGUAAAAAAAAAAGAUCAGUGUAAAAAUUAAUAAUAACCUCUACAUGAGGGCUAGUUGGACUAGCUAUUUGGAGCCAAUCAAAACCCUUUACUGCAUAAGGUUUAUUUAAACCCUGCACAAGACGAGGUUUAUUUAAACCCUGCACUAGAUAAUGUUUCCAGGCUUUGGAAUGUGUUUAUCUUUUCAAGACUAAUUUCAGACCUUUUCACAAAUAUUUUAUGCAAAAUAACAAUUAUAGUUAACUGACUGUCAGUAUCAGAUCUGGAUGUGCUAAUGAGUUAGAAAAAGUUGAACAAUGAGUACUUACUCGUGUCCCUAUACACAUGGGAUUGUAACUGCCACCUUGUGUUGAUACACAAGACAAGCUGAUAUAUUAUGGCACAUACCACAAAUCUAUUCUAAAACUAUUCUGUCCAGUUCUAUCCCAUUUAUUGCUACAUCUAUUCUAUCAAGAUACCACAAUACGAUCCCAUCCAUAAAUACAACUAUUCUGUCAAGAUACCACAGUUCUAUCCCAUCUAU